rnacentral:tRNA from 1 species
CGUCAGUUUAGGCGCCCUCCGGAGGCGAAGGCCGGGGGUUCGAAUCCCUCCUGGCGCACCA